CAUAGAGAGUCGGACCUGCCCAGUGAUACAUUUAGUAUUCAACGGCCGCGGUACUCUGACCGUGCAAAGGUAGCAUAAUCAUUUGCCCUAUAAUUGAGGGCUAGUAUGAAAGGUUUGACAAGGGCAACCCUGUCUCUACAAAAAUCGCUGGAAUUUAUUUUCUAAGUGAAGAAACUUAGAUAAAAUUAAAAGACAAGAAGACCCUAUCGAGCUUAAAAGUCAUUUAUGAUAUAAAGAAAGUGAUACACACAUUUCUUUUCAUAAAAAAUUUUGGUUGGGGCGACUAAGGAACAAUUAAAGCUUCUUUUAUCUAUAAAAAUGUCUAAAUCUGGAUCCGUACCUAUUACGAUUAAAAGAAUUAGUUACCGUAGGGAUAACAGCAUAAUCUUUUUUGAGAGUUCUCAUCGAAAAAAAGGUUUGUGACCUCGAUGUUGGACUAGAAUAUCCUGAUAGGUGCAGAAGCCUUCGAGGGUUGGUCUGUUCGACCAUUAAAAUUCUACGUGAUCUGAGUUCAGACC
rnacentral:rRNA from 1 species